UACGGAGGGUGCAAGCGUUAUCCGGAUUCACUGGGUUUAAAGGGUGCGUAGGAGGGCAGGUAAGUCAGUGGUGAAAUCUCCGAGCUUAACUUGGAACUGCCGUUGAUACUAUCUGUCUUGAAUAUUGUGGAGGUGAGCGGAAUAUGUCAUGUAGCGGUGAAAUGCUUAGAUAUGACAUAGAACACCAAUUGCGAAGGCAGCUGGCUACAGGGAUAUUGACACUGAGGCACGAAAGCGUGGGGAUCAAACAGG
rnacentral:rRNA from 1 species